GCGGGCGUAGCUCAGUGGUAGAGCUCCUGCCUUCCAAGCAGGUUGUCGCGCGUUCAAAUCGCGUCGCCCGCU
rnacentral:tRNA from 1 species